GGAUCCAGACUUUGAUAAUGGCUCAGGACGAACGCUGGCGGCGCGCCUAACACAUGCAAGUCGAGCGGGAAGCUUUUUAAGGAUUCUUCGGAUGAAUUAAAAAGUGGAGAGCGGCGGACGGGUGAGUAACGCGUGAGAAACCUGCCCUAUACAGGGGGAUAGCCAUUGGAAACGAUGAUUAAUACCCCAUAUGACCACAGUAUCGCAUGAUACAGCGGUGAAAACUCCGGUGGUAUAGGAUGGUCUCGCGUCUGAUUAGCUAGUUGGUGGGGUAACGGCCUACCAAGGCGACGAUCAGUAGCCGGCCUGAGAGGGUGACCGGCCACACUGGAACUGAGACACGGUCCAGACUCCUACGGGAGGCAGCAGUGGGGAAUAUUGCACAACGGGCGAAAGCCUGAUGCAGCGACGCCGCGUGAACGAUGAAGGCUUUCGAGUCGUAAAGUUCUGUUCUUGGGGAAGAUAACGACGGUACCCAAGGAGAAAGCACCGGCUAAAUACGUGCCAGCAGCCGCGGUAAU
rnacentral:rRNA from 1 species